rnacentral:rRNA from 1 species
AGCGAACGCUGGCGGCAGGCCUAACACAUGCAAGUCGAAUGAACCCUUCGGGGUUAGUGGCGGGCGGGUGAGUAACACGUGGGAACGUGCCUUUAGGUUCGGAAUAACUCAGGGAAACUUGUGCUAAUACCGAAUGUGCCCUUCGGGGGAAAGAUUUAUCGCCUUUAGAGCGGCCCGCGUCUGAUUAGCUAGUUGGUGAGGUAAUGGCUCACCAAGGCUACGAUCAGUAGCUGGUCUGAGAGGAUGACCAGCCACAUUGGGACUGAGACACGGCCCAAACUCCUACGGGAGGCAGCAGUGGGGAAUCUUGCGCAAUGGGCGAAAGCCUGACGCAGCCAUGCCGCGUGGAUGAUGAAGGUCUUAGGAUUGUAAAAUCCUUUCACCGGUGAAGAUAAUGACUGUAGCCGGAGAAGAAGCCCCGGCUAACUUCGUGCCAGCCGCCGCCGUAAAAC